CGCUCGCUCCCCAGAGAUCGUCCGCAAAUUAAUACAAAUCGGAGCCCUCUUCUCCGCCCGAGCCUCGCCGCUCACCUUCCCCCCAGCGCAGCCUUUGGCCCGCGCCCAGCGCAGCGCCGUCACGGUGACCUUGGCCCGUCUCCUGUUGGCGCGGCGGACGCGCGGAGAUUAGCGGGCGAGUGUCCGAGUCCAGCAGCUUCCUCCGUGAUGACGCCUACGGUCCGGGCUGCCAAAUGAGCCGCAGCCAGCGGAGCUCAAGUGAGGGAAGAAACUCAAAGACAGAAAUAUGAUGAGCAGGUAGG
ensembl:lncRNA